rnacentral:rRNA from 1 species
GACGAACGCUGGCGGCGUGCUUAACACAUGCAAGUCGAACGGAAGGGCCCUGCUUUUGUGGGGUGCUCGAGUGGCGAACGGGUGAGUAACACGUGAGUAACCUGCCCUUGACUUUGGGAUAGCUUCAGGAAACUGGGGCUAAUACCGGAUAGGAGCUCCUGCUGCGUGGUGGGGGUUGGAACGUUGCGGCGGGUGGGGAUGGACUCGCGGCUUAUCAGCUUGUUGGUGGGGUAGUUGCUUACCAAGGCAUUGAAGGGUAGCCGGCCUGAGAGGGUGACCGGCCACAUUGGGACUGAGAUACGGCCCAGACUCCUACGGGAGGCAGCAGUGGGGAAUAUUGCACAAUGGGCGGAAGCCUGAUGCAGCAACGCCGCGUGCGGGAUGACGGCCUUCGGGUUGUAAACCGCUUCCGCCUGUGACGAAGCGUGAGUGACGGUAAUGGGUAAAGAAGCACCGGCUAACUACGUG